rnacentral:rRNA from 1 species
GAUGAACGCUGGCGGCGUGCCUAAUACAUGCAAGUCGAGCGAACAGACGAUGAGCUUGCUCCUCUGACGGUAGCGGCGGACGGGUGAGUAACACGUGGAUAACCUACCUAUAAGACUGGGAUAACUUCGGGAAACCGGAGCUAAUACCGGAUAAUAUAUUGAACCGCAUGGUUCAAGAGUGAAAGACAGUUUUGCUGUCACUUAUAGAUGGAUCCGCGCCGCAUUAGCUAGUUGGUAAGGUAACGGCUUACCAAGGCAACGAUGCGUAGCCGACCUGAGAGGGUGAUCGGCCACACUGGAACUGAGACACGGUCCAGACUCCUACGGGAGGCAGCAGUAGGGAAUCUUCCGCAAUGGGCGCAAGCCUGACGGAGCAACGCCGCGUGAGUGAUGAAGGUCUUCGGAUCGUAAAACUCUGUUAUUAGGGAAGAACAACUGUGUAAGUAACUAUGGCCGUCUUGACGGUACCUAAUCAGAAAGCAACGGCUAACUACGUG